rnacentral:rRNA from 1 species
AUGCCCAAGUCGUGGUUCUCCACGUCGGCAGGUGGCAGUGGCUCCGAAUUUCCCUCCAGAUCUUAUUGCCGCUGUUGUUGCUCUUUGAGGCCCUCUUCCUCAAAGGAUGUCGUCUCCACCAACAAGAAGGAGAUUGUCAUCUGUGCCGGAGCCCCCCUCCCCCCCACGCAACGCAACAUCCAAAUCGAGCAUCGCGUGAAGGAGGAGUUGUCGUCAUCGUUGCACAGCCGUCAUGCCUGGAUCAACGGAUCGGCAUCGCCGCCACUCCGCGCUUGGCAUGACAAGGUCUACAAGGUGGAGGUGUUGCCGGCUAUCGGGAAGGCACGCGGGCGCCUCAUCCACUACCUCAGUGGCCGUGGCGGUGGCGGCUCCUUAUCGUCACGAGCCAUCGUGAUGGUCGAGGACAGGGUGGCACAGCAUGACGUGGCAUGGGCGGCGCAACACGGCGGGCGCCGCUCCGCGUUCGCCAAGUCGGACGAGGCACCGACGUGGAUCCGUGAGGACCCCGAACCUGGCGGAGCCUGGGCUCGCAACCGGCCCGUCACCACCGCGGAGAUGGCCGCAUGGCACCGCUGGCGCUUUAAUGGGGAGCUCGCCAAGAUCGACAAGGAGUGGUCGCUAAGCGACACCUCCGCCGACGGCGGCAGGGGCAAUGCCGCCACCAGGGCACCCCGACGGGGGUCGGCAUUGGCCACGGCGGCGCCGGCGCGCCGGCCCAAAGUUUCGGCCGGUCACGCCCCAACCGCCCGAUUGGCUCACCCCCAACCGUUGGAUCCUCAUCCACUCAUCGUCUGCUUCCUUCUCAUCCUGUUCGCGUUCAGAUCUGAAAAAGACACCGCACGACAUGACGGCCGCCCAUCAUCAUUGUGUCGCACAGCGCGCGUCCCGCCCUCCCCUGUUUGUCGUUGUCGACAGCCACCGCCGUGCUCGCCGCCGAUGCUCGCCGUUGACAAAAAGCAGCUUUGUGUCGCUGCCCCAGCUGAAUCAUUUGAAAAACAUGGUUCCAGCAAAUUGAAGUUAUGCAAAAAGAAGCUGGUACAUAAAGAACAAAAUCCGGUGAAAGCAUUUUUUGGUGGUGGCUCCAGCAAAUCACCUCGUCGGUUCCAGCAAACCUGGUCGUGGUUGCAGCACUCCCCCGCCCAUAUGGACAAACUCGCCGUGGUCACCUUGCAGCUCGCCGCGAUCACCGGUAGUGACAACUCCGUUGCCGGUUGCAGCUCGCCCCGCAACGGUUGCAGCAUCCACACCAGCCGAGGAGUGGGGGAUUUAGUUGCAUUGGAGAUCAGCAGAGAAAAAUGGGAUUUGGGAGAGGAGCAUGCGUUCGUGUGGAUGGGGAUUGAUUGCUGGAGCUCACGGAGAGGGGCGCACCCACCCACCUCUGAUCAGCUGCGGAUCAAACGUUCGCCACAUCAACCGGCCGCCGGCGGCGGCGCUGCUGAUCGGUGGGCUGGCCCUAGUCGUCCGGUCCACCCAACUUCAUCGUCUCGCACUGCGGGCUCUCUCCCCCAGGCCCUAGCUUCCAUGUCGCCCUCACUCUGGAUUCGCCGCAGGGGGGGUGGGUGGGUGGGCGGGCUUGGGAUGCUAGAUCCGGUUCCGCGCGCGCGCCAGCUUCCUUCCUAUCCCUUUUCACCGGCAGUGCGCGGUGAAAAUCUUUGUCGUCAAGGAUUGAUUUCUCACCUUUAUCUCUUUCUCCUGCUCUACACUAUAGCACCACCUAAAAUGCACCCCUGUUGCCCUGCCUUUUGGAGCAGACGAAGCUUUGUCAUGGUCUGCUCAUCGCAGAGGAUACAGGUGAACAUAUGGUUUGAUGGUUUACAGGAUCUGGCCCAGGAGACAAAAAGGCUGACCAUUGGAUCAGACACUAAUCCUCGGAGCAAGGAAAUUCAGAACUUGACAGGCUACAGGGCAUCAGAGCUGAAGGACUGCAUUAUAGCCAUACAUGAUUUGCAGCUAAAUAUAAAGGGUUCAUCAUUACCAGCAAUUCAAGACAAAAGUGCUAGUCUAUCACAAAGAUCUGAGUCAUUUCCAAUGUAUGAUCAACCCAUUUGCUGCCUAGCUUCAGUUAGCAGCAAUAUUCCCUGUGAGGAGGGUGCUGAACUCAAGAUGGCCAGCGACGCUGGAUGCAGUAAGAUGGCGGUGAUGAGCCGGAGAUGGCGGGAUCUGUAA